rnacentral:misc_RNA from 1 species
CCCUCCCCUAAAUCACUCCAAAAAAAACAAUCCCCAAUUCUACACAAGUGUUUCUACACUAACAAAGCAACAGCUCCUUAACGAAUUCCCAACUUUACACGAGCUCGUCUCUCGAGGUUAAAUGUUAUUACUUGGUAAGAUUCCGGACCUCGCCAAGUGUUUUGAAAACCCGCAACGCUCGCAAAGGUGCAUAGUGAGAAUAAUAAGUGAAGAGACAGACUUGUCCAAAACGCCCACCACGAAGGUGCAUAGUGAGAAGAGUAAGUCAAGAGAUAGACUUGUCCAAAAAGAAACGGAAGAGAAAGCUUGGGGAGACGCUCACGAAGGUGCAUAGUGAGAAGAGUAAGUCAAGAGAUAGACUUGUUCAAAAAGAAACAGAAGAGAAUGCUUGGGGUUACACUCACGAAGGUGCAUAGUGAGAAGAGUAAGUCAAGAGAUAGACUUGUUCAAAAAGAAACAAAAGAGAAUGCUUGGGGUUACACUCACGAAGGUGCAUAGUGAGAAGAGUAAGUCAAGAGACAGACUUGUUCAAAAAGAAACAAAAGAGAAUGCUUGGGGAGAUAGAAGUGUGAGAUAGUUCUCAAGCUAAGAAAGUUGUAAAAGCUAAGAACUAGCAAGUAAUCGUCCAGGAUUCCUCCACCAGGACUUGAAAUCGUCGAGGGAAAAAAUCGGUUCCGAGGAAUCGUCGAUCCGGACUUGGAAUCGUCGAGAAAAGUUUACCGGGUCCGAGGAUUUGUCGAC